rnacentral:rRNA from 2 species
GAUGAACGCUGGCGGCGCGCCUAACACAUGCAAGUCGAACGGUUAAAGCACCUUCGGAUGUGUAUAAAGUGGCGAACGGCUGAGUAACACGUGGGCAACCUGCCCUUUGCACUGGGAUAGCCUCGGGAAACCGAGGUUAAUACCGGAUACUCCAUAUUUGUCGCAUGGCGAAUAUGGGAAAGCUCCGGCGGCAAAGGAUGGGCCCGCGGCCUGUUAGCUAGUUGGUGGGGUAGUGGCCUACCAAGGCAAUGAUGGGUAGCCGGGUUGAGAGACCGACCGGCCAGAUUGGGACUGAGACACGGCCCAGACUCCUACGGGAGGCAGCAGUGGGGAAUCUUGCACAAUGGGCGAAAGCCUGAUGCAGCGACGCCGCGUGCGGGAUGAAGGCCUUCGGGUUGUAAACCGCUUUCAGCAGGGACGAGGCCGCAAGGUGACGGUACCUGCAGAAGAAG